rnacentral:lncRNA from 1 species
AGUGAUUGUCCAUCAGAGAACCCCUUGGAGGCCAGGCUUCUGAUUAUAAAGUUCUCCAGAUCUCUGAUUGCUAUGGACGGGUAACGGCCCACCUCGGAACUGUCCUGAGUGCUGAAAUGGUGCCUGGUUGCAGCUGACAUUCCUGUUCCUUCACUUAAGUGCUCUGCCGGAGCACUAGCUCUCUCCCUCUGUCAAGAUGCUUUUCCUUGGAAUCCAGCUGCCAUGUUGUGAGAAAGCCCAGGGCACCGCAGAGACCACAUGUGGGUGUUCCAGCCAACAGCCCCAGCUAGGUCCCCAUGGAGAGCCCACACCAACCACCAGAUAUGAGGGUUCAGACUCCAGCCCACAGUCUUCAAGUCUUCCAGCUGCAGUCCCAGACAUCAUGAAACCAUUCUGCUGUGACCUGUCAGAAUUUCUGACCCCAGAAACUGUUGGAGAUAAUAAAUAAUUACUGUUGUUUUAAUCCUCUAAA